rnacentral:rRNA from 1 species
UACGUAGGGUCCGAGCGUUGUCCGGAAUUACUGGGCGUAAAGAGCUCGUAGGUGGUUUGUCGCGUUGUUCGUGAAAACUCGCAGCUCAACUGCGAGCCUGCGGUCGAUACGGGCAGGCUAGAGUUCGGUAGGGGAGACUGGAAUUCCGUGGUGUAGCGGUGAAAUGCGCAGAUAUCAGGAGGAACACCGAUGGCGAAGGCAGGUCUCUGGGCCGAUACUGACGCUGAGGAGCGAAAGCGUGGGGAGCGAACAGG